GCCUGGGUGGCUCAGUCAGCUGAGCGUCCGACUUCGGCUCAGGUCAUAAUCUCACAAUCCGUGGGUUUGAGUCCCGCAUCAGGCA
rnacentral:tRNA from 1 species